CCUACGGGAGGCAGCAGUGAGGAAUAUUGGACAAUGGGCGCAAGCCUGAUCCAGCCAUGCCGCGUGCAGGAAGACGGUCCUAUGGAUUGUAAACUGCUUUUGUACGGGAAGAAACACUCCUACGUGUAGGAGCUUGACGGUACCGUAAGAAUAAGGAUCGGCUAACUCCGUGCCAGCAGCCGCGGUAAUACGGAGGAUCCAAGCGUUAUCCGGAAUCAUUGGGUUUAAAGGGUCCGUAGGCGGUUUAGUAAGUCAGUGGUGAAAGCCCAUCGCUCAACGAUGGAACGGCCAUUGAUACUGCUAGACUUGAAUUACUAGGAAGUAACUAGAAUAUGUAGUGUAGCGGUGAAAUGCUUAGAUAUUACAUGGAAUACCAAUUGCGAAGGCAGGUUACUACUAGUGGAUUGACGCUGAUGGACGAAAGCGUGGGGAGCGAACAGGAUUAGAUACCCUGGUAGUCCACGCCGUAAACGAUGGAUACUAGCUGUUCGGGGCAACCUGAGUGGCUAAGCGAAAGUGAUAAGUAUCCACCUGGGGAGUACGUUCGCAAGAAUGAAACUUAAAGAGUAGUAGCGNGAGAGAGCGACGACGACGACGACGGAGGAGGAGG
rnacentral:rRNA from 1 species